rnacentral:rRNA from 1 species
UACAGAGGUCUCAAGCGUUGUUCGGAUUCAUUGGGCGUAAAGGGAGCGUAGGUGGCCUUGUAAGUCAGUGGUGAAAUCUGGCAGCUUAACUGCUAAAUUGCCAUUGAUACUGCAGGGCUUGAGUACAGAUGCCGUUGGCGGAAUAUGACAUGUAGUGGUGAAAUACAUAGAGAUGUCAUAGAACACCGAUUGCGAAGGCAGCUGACGAAACUGUAACUGACACUGAGGCUCGAAAGUGUGGGGAUCAAACAGG